GUGGUUGUGACUCAAUUGAUAGAGCACUUGCUUAGCAUGCAUGAGGCACUGUGUUCAAUCCCCAGCACCAUA
rnacentral:tRNA from 1 species